rnacentral:rRNA from 1 species
UUUGUUAUGUAUAAUAAAUAAAACUAAAAAAAUAAUUUUAAUUAGGGGUCAAUAAAAAUAAUAAUUUUUAACUUAGUUUUACUAAUUAACAAUAAUAUUUGAAUAUAUUAAAGAUCCUUAAUAAAGAUUAUAAGAUUAAGUUACUUUAGGGAUAACAGCGUAAUUUUUUUAAGAGUCCAUAUCGAAAAAAAGUUUAACGACCUCGAUGUUGAUUAAAUCCCUUAUGGUGCAGAAGUUAUAAAGGAAAGUCUGUUCGACUUUUAAUAUUUUACAUGAUUUGAGUUCAGACCGGCGUAAGCCAGGUUGGUUCUAUCU